UACGGAGGGAGCUAGCGUUGUUCGGAAUUACUGGGCGUAAAGCGCGCGUAGGCGGCUUUGUAAGUUAGAGGUGAAAGCCCGGAGCUCAACUCCGGAACUGCCUUUAAAACUGCAUCGCUUGAAUCCAGGAGAGGUGAGUGGAAUUCCGAGUGUAGGGGUGAAAUUCGUAGAUAUUCGGAAGAACACCAGUGGCGAAGGCGGCUCACUGGACUGGUAUUGACGCUGAGGUGCGAAAGCGUGGGGAGCAAACAGG
rnacentral:rRNA from 1 species